rnacentral:rRNA from 1 species
GAUGAACGCUGGCGGCGUGCCUAAUACAUGCAAGUCGAGCGAACGGACGAGAAGCUUGCUUCUCUGAUGUUAGCGGCGGACGGGUGAGUAACACGUGGAUAACCUACCUAUAAGACUGGGAUAACUUCGGGAAACCGGAGCUAAUACCGGAUAAUAUUUUGAACCGCAUGGUUCAAAAGUGAAAGACGGUCUUGCUGUCACUUAUAGAUGGAUCCGCGCUGCAUUAGCUAGUUGGUAAGGUAACGGCUUACCAAGGCAACGAUGCAUAGCCGACCUGAGAGGGUGAUCGGCCACACGGGAACUGGAACACGGUCCAGACUCCUACGGGAGGCAGCAGUAGGGAAUCUUCCGCAAUGGGCGAAAGCCUGACGGAGCAACGCCGCGUGAGUGAUGAAGGUCUUCGGAUCGUAAAACUCUGUUAUUAGGGAAGAACAUAUGUGUAAGUAACUGUGCACAUCUUGACGGUACCUAAUCAGAAAGCCACGGCUAACUACGUG